rnacentral:rRNA from 1 species
CCUACGGGUGGCAGCAGUAGGGAAUUUUCGUCAAUGGGCGCAAGCCUGAACGAGCGAUGCCGCGUGAGUGAAGAAGGCCUUCGGGUCGUAAAGCUCUGUUGCGGGGGAAAAAAGGCAGCAUCAGGAAAUGGGUGCUGACUGAUGGUGCCCCGCCAGAAAGUCACGGCUAACUACGUGCCAGCAGCCGCGGUAAAACGUAGGAGGCGAGCGUUAUCCGGAAUGAAUGGGCGUAAAGGUGGCGCAGGCGGUCCUGUAAGUCUGGCGUGAAACGCAUGGGGUCAACCCAUGCAUUGCUUGGGAAACUGGAGGACUGGAGAGCAGGAGAGGGCGGUGGAACUCCAUGUGUAGCGGUCA